rnacentral:rRNA from 1 species
UACGUAGGGGGCAAGCGUUAUCCGGAUUUACUGGGUGUAAAGGGAGCGUAGACGGUAAAGCAAGUCUGAAGUGAAAGCCCGCGGCUCAACUGCGGGACUGCUUUGGAAACUGUUUAACUGGAGUGUCGGAGAGGUAAGUGGAAUUCCUAGUGUAGCGGUGAAAUGCGUAGAUAUUAGGAGGAACACCAGUGGCGAAGGCGACUUACUGGACGAUAACUGACGUUGAGGCUCGAAAGCGUGGGGAGCAAACAG